UGGGGAAUAUUGGACAAUGGGGGCAACCCUGAUCCAGCCAUGCCGCGUGUGUGAAGAAGGUCUUCGGAUUGUAAAGCACUUUAAGUUGGGAGGAAGGGCGUCAGGCUAAUAUCCUGACGUUUUGACGUUACCGACAGAAUAAGCACCGGCUAACUCUGUGCCAGCAGCCGCGGUAAUACAGAGGGUGCAAGCGUUAAUCGGAAUUACUGGGCGUAAAGCGCGCGUAGGUGGUUCAGUAAGAUGGGUGUGAAAUCCCCGGGCUCAACCUGGGAACUGCUUUCAUAACUGCUGAGCUAGAGUACGGUAGAGGGUAGUGGAAUUUCCUGUGUAGCGGUGAAAUGCGUAGAUAUAGGAAGGAACACCAGUGGCGAAGGCGACUACCUGGACUGAUACUGACACU
rnacentral:rRNA from 1 species